UCAAGAGUGGGAAUGAUGACCUGGUUAGACUAGAGUCUCUGAGUUUCUUUGAGGAUAUUUGAAACCACCUGACCCAUUCUUG
rfam:Cavia porcellus supercont2_15 genomic scaffold, whole genome shotgun sequence.